rnacentral:rRNA from 1 species
GACGUAGGGCGCGAGCGUUGUCCGGAAUUAUUGGGCGUAAAGAGCUCGUAGGCGGUUUGUUGCGUCGGCUGUGAAAUCCCGAGGCUCAACCUCGGGUCUGCAGUCGAUACGAGCAAACUAGAGUGUUGCAGGGGAGACUGGAAUUCCUGGUGUAGCGGUGAAAUGCGCAGAUAUCAGGAGGAACACCGGUGGCGAAGGCGGGUCUCUGGGCAACAACUGACGCUGAGGAGCGAAAGCGUGGGGAGCGAACAGG